rnacentral:rRNA from 1 species
UACGAAGGGGGCUAGCGUUGCUCGGAAUCACUGGGCGUAAAGCGCACGUAGGCGGCUUUCUAAGUCAGGGGUGAAAUCCUGGAGCUCAACUCCAGAACUGCCUUUGAUACUGGAGAGCUCGAGUCCGGAAGAGGUGAGUGGAACUCCGAGUGUAGAGGUGAAAUUCGUAGAUAUUCGGAAGAACACCAGUGGCGAAGGCGGCUCACUGGUCCGGUACUGACGCUGAUGUACGAAAGCGUGGGGAGCGAACAGG